rnacentral:rRNA from 11 species
GUCUUUCUAAGGAUAUCCUGAAAACACCAGCUCCCAUCUGAUUUUUGAAAGCUAAGCAGAGACAACUCUGGCUGAUACAUAGAUGAGAUAUCACCAACAAAUACCGGUGAUGUAGGCU